AAUGAACGUUGGCGGCGUGGAUUAGGCAUGCAAGUCGAGCGGGAGUAGCAAUACUCCAGCGGCGAAAGGGACAGUAAUGUGUGGGUUAUCUACCCUCAGGUUCGGGAUAGCUGCGGGAAACUGCAGGUAAUACCGAAUAACAUCUCCGGAUCAAAGGUGUGAUUCCGCCCGUGGAGGAGCCCGCAUCCUAUUAGCUAGUUGGUAGGGUAACGGCCUACCAAGGCAAUGAUGGGUAGCAGGGGUGAGAGCACGACCUGCGUCAUUGGGACUGAGACACUGCCCAGACACCUACGGGUGGCUGCAGUCGAGAAUCUUCGGCAAUGGGCGCAAGCCUGACCGAGCGACGCCGCGUGCGGGAUGAAGGCCUUCGGGUUGUAAACCGCUGUCAGUGGGGAGGAAAUGCUGGUGGGUACUCCCAUCAGUUUGACCUAUCCGCAGAGGAAGGACGGGCUAAGUUCGUGCCAGCAGCCGCCGUAACAC
rnacentral:rRNA from 1 species